GAGAGAGAGAGAUAGAAAGAGGUACAGAUGUAAAGAAAGAGAGAGAGGUUAACAGAUUGAGAGGAUGAGGUGGAAGAAGAAAGGAGGCAUGCAGGAGUCAGGCUGAGAGAGAUGGAAUUAAGAGAAAGAAAAGAGUGACAACAGCCAGUGGAAGGAGAAGAGUAUAUGUUAAAGUUAAUAAAUAUACACAGUGGUGACAUGGACACAAGAAUGUGUGACAUAAGUGUUGAUUUUGAAGCAAUUUUGGUCAUUCGAGACAUACUAGCGCUGUAGCUCCACUUGCUGCUAACAAACACAGGACACUGGGUGUCAGGUAGCCUAGUGGUUAGAGCAUUAGGCCAGUAACUGAAAGGCUGUGAGUUCGAAUCCCCGAGCUGACAAGGUGGAAGAAAAUCUGUUGAUCUGCACUCAAGCAAGGCGCUUAACCCUAAGUGCUCCAGGGUCUCCAUCAAUAAUGACUGAUACCUGGCCGUGUCUCAAGGGGAGUGGGAUAUACAAAAAAACACAUUUCCAUUUCACACCUCACACGUAUACAAGACAAACAUAAGCAACUUCUAUUUGACCUUUGAAUAGGACAAAUAUAAGCAACUUCUAUUUGACCUUUGACGAACAUAGAAUUAAUGAGUUACAUAGACUGUUCACCACUUGAUUUAAUCCCUUUAAAAUCUUCGAUUCAAGAGCUUGACAUUCUAUUUUUUUUUUAAAUAAUCUUUGUAAUUCAACAGGGUUUGAUGCAGCAAAAUGUGAGUUAAGGAAUUACUGAAGAAUUUCUGCUGUUUACACCUGGUAUCAAGAUGUGUUCUCUGCCUGGUUUUGCUGCCUAGAGUCAAAGGAUUCUACCAUCACCUUCCUUUUGCCUACUCCAGACAUACUACGGCCAGUGUUUCAGAACAUUUCAUUUAGUCUCCUCCCACUUGACACACACUGGUUGAAUCGACGUUGACUUCACGUCAUUUCGUUGAACCAACGUGGAAUAGACAUCCAACUGACAUCUGUGCCCAGUGGGCUGUUCUCCCUUCAUGUUAACUGAAUGGCAAUAUUCCUUCCAAAUCUAAUGUGAUCAUUAAUAUCAGCGUGAUCUUGAUUAUAACAUUUAGUGUGGUUAUUGUAAGAGAUUUGGUUUGGCAUUGCCUUAAAACUUCAAAUCUGAAGAUAAUGGAGUGUAGAUUUCCGGUUCAAGACAGCGGUUUAUGUGAUACCAAUUUCUGAUCCUUGUGGGCCGGCAUCAUGCAUUAGAUGGAAAUCUUAAUACCACAAAUUGUUUCACAUUUAAGAUGCAUCCCAAUAGUCUUGAAUGACUUCCUAUCUAUUUAGAGACCACAAACAAUGUGACAUAGGCCAUUUUGGGGUUAUGACAAUGUAUGAGAAAGGGUAGGCUAUUUCAUUAAGUGUACUUUCCCUUUAAAGCAGAUCUUGGGUCAGUUCUGCAUUUUUCCCACUAAUGGUUAAGGUUAGGAUUGGGGAGGGUAAGCUGAUCCUAGAUCUGUACCCAGGGGAAAUUUAGUCCCAGAACAUUCCAUUACUUACUGCUGGAUGGUAAUCUCACAGAAUGUGCCUUGAAGUGAUGUGAUGAGUUUAGCUGUGCCCUGCUCUCUGUGCCCUGCCCUCUAGUGGCGAGUAGAGGAACCAAAACAAAACAUCCCAACUGUGCAGCUCCUACUAGAGAACCACUGGGAAUGCAGGCUUUUGCUCCGACCCUGCUCUAACACCAGACUCUGCUAAUCCAGUUCUGAAUCUGUAUAAGACAGAAAAAUAUAUAUAUUAUUAUACAUUUUUAUAACCCAAUCAUUACUAUAUGACCCCCAUUGAAACCGACCCUUAUGAUAUCAGUGCGUAACUGGCAAAUUGGGAGGGGUGGGAGGAGGGAUGUUGUUUAAACAUGUUCGCAGCUCAUCAGUAGAAUAGGUGUGUUAGUGCAGGGUUGCAGCAAAGGCCUGCACACAAUAGCUCUCCAAGAGGAGGUAUGGCCAUCCCUGUUCUUGUGUGUGUGACUUUUAAGGAAAAUUGAAAUUGCCAGACUGGAUUGUUUGUAUUACCUUUGUAGACUCAGAUGCACUGUAGCAAAGUCUCCUCCAUUUUUACGCUGACUUAAAUAUGCAUGGUUGCUGGAGCAACUAACCCUUUUCCAUGACCUCUUGGUAUAGUGCCAGUUGCCCCUAACCACAGAUCUAGGAUCAGAUUACCUUAUCCCCAAACCUAAUUUUAACCAGUGGGAGGAUGCAAACAGAUCUAACCCUGUAUCAGUUGGUUAGGCACAUUGAUGAGAGUGAGAGACAGUAGUUAGACAUAGGACUGGUGGAUACUUUGUUAAAACACUCCAAACUAAUGUACUAACAUUUCCUGUUGCUGAUUUUCUUUUGUUGUGUUUCAUAGAAACUGGUGUGGUGUGGCAAGAUAUAGAAACCAUAUUUAUUAUUAAUGUAUGACUUUGAGAUACGCAGAGA
ensembl:lncRNA